rnacentral:rRNA from 1 species
CGUAACAAGGUUUCCGUAGGUGAACCUGCGGAAGGAUCAUUACAGAGCGUGAAGACUCCUCGGCCCCUCCAGCGGCGCAAGUCGGUGCGAGGGAUACAUGCUGCGGGGUCGACCCUCCCACCCGUGUCGAUAUUAUUCUCCUGUUGCUUUGGCAGGCCGGGGUAACCCGCUGGCCCUUGGGCUGGAGCGUGCCUGCCAGAGAAUGUAUUUUCAAUAUGUUUUGGAACAACUCGUGUUAUUGGUGAAGUCUGAGCACAAUGUGAGAAAUUAGUUAAAACUUUCAACAACGGAUCUCUUGGCUCUGGCAUCGAUGAAGAACGCAGCGAAAUGCGAUAAGUAAUGUGAAUUGCAGAAUCUAGUGAAUCAUCGAAUCUUUGAACGCACAUUGCGCCCCUUGGUAUUCCGAGGGGCAUGCCUGUUCGAGCGUCAUAACAACCCCUCAAGCCGCUCUGGCUUGGUCUUGGGGCUCGCCCGCAGCUGCGCGGCGUCCCUUAAACCCAGUGGCGGAACCGGUGGUGCUCUCCGCGUAGUCACGUUCUCGCGACAGGGCGGCACUGGAUCCAGCCAAAAAGACCCACGGCGUCUUGCGCGACGUGUCUCUCUCAAUGGUUGACCUCGAAUCAGGUAGGGAUACCCGCUGAACUUAAGCAUAUCAAUAAGCGGAGGAAAAGAAACCAACCGGGAUUACCCUAGUAACGGCG